rnacentral:rRNA from 1 species
ACGAACGCUGGCGGCACGCUUAACACAUGCAAGUCGAACGAGAGAAGAGGAGCUUGCUUUUCUGAUCUAGUGGCGGACGGGUGAGUAACACGUGAGCAAUCUGCCUUUCAGAGGGGGAUACCGAUUGGAAACGAUCGUUAAUACCGCAUAACAUAAUUGAACCGCAUGAUUUGAUUAUCAAAGAUUUAUCGCUGAAAGAUGAGCUCGCGUCUGAUUAGCUAGUUGGUAAGGUAACGGCUUACCAAGGCGACGAUCAGUAGCCGGACUGAGAGGUUGAUCGGCCACAUUGGGACUGAGACACGGCCCAGACUCCUACGGGAGGCAGCAGUGGGGAAUAUUGCACAAUGGAGGAAACUCUGAUGCAGCGAUGCCGCGUGAGGGAAGAAGGUUUUAGGAUUGUAAACCUCUGUCUUCAGGGACGAAAAAAGACGGUACCUGAGGAGGAAGCUCCGGCUAACUACGUGCCAGCAGCCGCGGUAAUACGUAGGGAGCGAGCGUUGUCCGGAAUUACUGGGUGUAAAGGGAGCGUAGGCGGGAUCGCAAGUCAGAUGUGAAAACUAUGGGCUUAACCCAUAAACUGCAUUUGAAACUGUGGUUCUUGAGUGAAGUAGAGGUAAGCGGAAUUCCUAGUGUAGCGGUGAAAUGCGUAGAUAUUAGGAGGAACAUCAGUGGCGAAGGCGGCUUACUGGGCUUUAACUGACGCUGAGGCUCGAAAGCGUGGGGAGCAAACAGGAUUAGAUACCCUGGUAGUCCACGCCGUAAACGAUGAUUACUAGGUGUGGGGCGACUGACCCCUUCCGUGCCGCAGCAAACGCAAUAAGUAAUCCACCUGGGGAGUACGACCGCAAGGUUGAAACUCAAAGGAAUUGACGGGGGCCCGCACAAGCAGUGGAGUAUGUGGAUUAAUUCGAAGCAACGCGAAGAACCUUACCAGGUCUUGACAUCGUAUGCAUAGCUCAGAGAUGAGUGAAAUCUCUUCGGAGACAUAUAGACAGGUGGUGCAUGGUUGUCGUCAGCUCGUGUCGUGAGAUGUUGGGUUAAGUCCCGCAACGAGCGCAACCCUUACUGUUAGUUGCUACGCAAGAGCACUCUAGCAGGACUGCCGUUGACAAAACGGAGGAGGGUGGGGAUGACGUCAAAUCAUCAUGCCCCUUAUGACCUGGGCCUCACACGUACUACAAUGGCUGUCAACAGAGGGAAGCAAAGCCGCGAGGUGGAGCGAACCCCUAAAAGCAGUCUUAGUUCGGAUUGUAGGCUGCAACCCGCCUACAUGAAGUCGGAAUUGCUAGUAAUCGCAGAUCAGCAUGCUGCGGUGAAUACGUUCCCGGGCCUUGUACACACCGCCCGUCACGCCAUGGGAGUCGGUAACACCCGAAGCCUGUAGUCUAACCGCAAGGAGGACGCAGUCGAAGGUGGGAUUGAUGACUGGGGUG